rnacentral:tRNA from 1 species
CGGCGUGGUGGCCGCUCUGGUGGUGGUCGGCCGUCUGGUGCACGGCUCGCCCCGCGCCGCGCUGUUCGGAUUGGCGUCCGCGGU